GUCAGCUUUUGUGGAUAUAUUCCCAUAAAAGUUGAUUCACAAACCGAGACAACGAAAUGUAGUAGCCGAUGCAUUAAGUAGAAGGGUGGCCUUAAUUAAAACCCUUAGAGUGGAGAUUGUAGAAUUUGAGUAUUUGAAAGAUUUAUAUGUGAAUGAUGAGGAUUUUAAAGAAGCAUGGGGCAAGUGUAUGCUGAACCAAUCCCAUGAUGAUUAUUUUGUGCAUGAUGAUUAUCUCAUGAAAGGUGGACAACUU
rnacentral:misc_RNA from 1 species